UGUGCCUCCUGCCUUCGACCAGACUAUGUCAUCUUGAGUAUUUACACUGCAAGAGUUUCCUCGGCGAAGCAAGCUAGAAUUUAUUUGCACAAUCUUACUAUUUGCCUCUAAGUAACUAGAACAUAGUGGUCAGAACAGGCCGGUUAUUGGCAAGCGUGGCGGAUAGUCCGUAAGUAGCGUACUUAUGAAGGGAUGCAGCAGUUCGCUAUUUCUACCUUCAAAUGCUACAUCUGUGGAAGAGGAUAAUGUUUCUAGCGCGCUCACGGACGUAUUCAGCCAUGGACUUGGGAGGAAGCUAUACAACAAGAUCAGGGUGGCGAUGGUCAGUUCUUGAGCUUCGAACGGGCAGAAAGCUAUACGACAAGAUCAGGGUGGUGAUGGUCAGUUCUUGAGUUUCGAACGGGCAGAAAGCUAUACAACGGGGUGAGGAUAGUCCUUGUCAGUUUCUGAGCUGCGACCCGGCAGAAAGCUAUACAACGAGAUGAGGCGGGUCAUUGUCUGUUUCUGAGCUGCAUACCAUUACACUCAAGUGAGAAGAUAUAUGAAGAUAUGCAAAUGAUAUACAUGUACUGCUAGUAGUCAUGACCUUGCCACUCUCCGUGACAUCACAAGAUAUCCCGGGAAGUGAUAGUGAUGUCAUGGAUGUGUGUAUAGUAUUGUAUACAACACAAUCCCAUAUCAUGGUGAAUGAUCUCAGUGUGUGGUAUCCGCACAUGCUGGUCAGGAACUGAGAAUAUAGUAUGUCAGUAUUGAUGCAAUGCAAUUGGAACUUGACUUGAUAUUGCAUGCGAGUUAUCUUCAAUUCUACUCUUGAUAUCCAGCACAGUGUUAAGAAAAAUGAACGUGUUUGUCCCAUGCAGGGAGUAACACAAUCGUUCACUAUUUUCUGUCUUGAUAACAAUUAAAAUAUCCAUCAUUCUUAGAUUCAAGCCUGGCUAUUUAUGAGAACACAGUUUGUCCCGACUGAGUACAGUGCGGAUCGGCUAUAGGGUUGUCGGCUAUAGUAAUAUACCUCUUAUAGUGAUCGUAUUCUCAAAUUCAUUUUCGUAAACCACCCCUUAAUAUACAUAUCGGAUCGGCUAUAGUAAUAAUCGGCUAUAGUAAUAUAUCGGCUAUAAUGAUACGAUUUCUUUGUCAAAAUGAUCUUAUUGCAUAUAUUUUUCAUCGGCUAUAGUGAUGAUCAUAAAAAAAUUAUACAUGGCGAGAUCUGAUCGCGGCAGCCAGGAAGCGCUGGUACGACUAUGAUAUCCCUCGGAGGAAAUGCGAAAUGGUUGGCGUUGGCUGUGCUUGUUGUUCUUCCGGGGCAUCCUCGAGCGAGAUCGGUGGCAGUAAUGAGUACCAGCGCUGAAGCCCUACCGUGGUCGACGCCGAGAUGUUGGAGAAGGCAUUCAGGUAACAGCGAAGACGAUCAGGGACGCGGGGAAGCUUCUCCGUGACAUACGACAUCACGCGUCGAUCGACCUGCCACUUGAAACGAUUUCAGCGGCGAUGAGUCGAGCGAUGGCGACCCAAACUGAGAUUCUACUCCCACUAAUUGAUCCUGUAGAUAUUCUUGAUAAUAUCAACAAUAUCUACAGGAUCAAUUAGUGGGAUUGAAUGUGUUGAAUUAAGUGAUUCUCUUCCAAAGGAACACAUAAUUAUUUGUUGAGCACAGCAACUCCUUGAACACUUAUGUCAAAAAGUCACGAAGUUUUUCUUUCCGCAGGAAGUAGCUCUGCACUGCGCGCAUUGCACAGUCACAUGCACAGCACGCUUCUGCACGCUGCACUGAUACGAAUGACACCAUACACGCAUUUGUCAGGCAUACCUAAGUAUGCAUAUCGCCUAUAGUAAUAUAUCGCCUAUAGUGAUAUUUUCACGAAAAUCAAACACCAACGCUAUAGCCGAUCUGUACUGUACAUGUAUCAUAUCCGUGCUAUUUUUUUCACCUUCUCCUUUUCAUUCCCUUAAUUAAAUACAUGUAGGUCGAUAUUAGAUGAGGUAUUCAGCAUGCUGCCAGUUUGGAGAGAAAUUCAGUACUACAUUAAUCUAACUAAGUCUUAAUAUCUCACACACUCACAUUUGGCAUUUGCUUGGACUUCCGUACACUGUUCAUUCGUAUUAUCAUUAUUGUUUGCAUCCUCAUAUUGAUGCUGGAUGCUAAGUCCUGAGCUCCGCUUUUGCUGCAUGGCUUUGACGAGAGGAGCCAUAGGAGUAAACUCAUCCACAUA